UGCCGCCAAUUAAUUAUUCGCCCACCAUUAAAACACCUCCGCCCCCUUCGCGACCUCCUCAGUCCUCCUCCCCAACUCCUCUCCAUAUCUCCACCCUCCGUCUUCCUCCCUUGCCUCCCUCGUCUCAUCUACUCCCGCUCCAGUAUAUCCGUACCUUCCCCUUCCUCGCCGUCGUGACACCCACCAAACCACACCUGAACUGCCCAUUUUCCUUUUUUUCCCCUCGCGUGAGGCGUAACCGGUGUGUCGUGGUCGUGGGGGGCGGUUUCGGCCGGGGGAAGCGCGGCGGAACCGGGAGCGUUUCAGAAUUCAGACCGGCCGACUGGUUCCUGGUGCCACGGGGACGGCGCCGCGAGAUCGCAUUGUGGCGGACGCGGCCGGGUCGCCGCGGCAUUUUGCUCUUGCGGUCGGGUCCGUGGCUGCUCGAGGCGUUUGCUUGUUUGUUUCUCUUCUCUCUUGUGGGCGGGCGGCGAGCGGGGCUCGAGGUUGGUGGCCAGCCAAGCGCAGCUCCUCCUUUUCGCGGUCGCCUUUGCUGGUGACUGGUGGGGAAGGGAUGCGCCUUGCCUUUCCGCCGCCUCGGCGUGGCGUGAUUCCGAAGCGUUGCCGGGAUUGUACUGGUUUCUUCUGGUAGAUAUAGAAAAACACCGCAUCCUUUUGGAGGCCUCGUCCCAGCUGACACGAAGGUUCCUCCCGGACAAUGCCGAGCAUACGAGCUCCGGCGUCCAAGCAGACGGCCACGCUACAGGUGGCUGUCAAGUGCAGGCCAUUGACCGACACCGAGCAGCGGCGCUCGCGGCAUAUCAUACAGGUCAUUGAUGACAAGACUGUGGUUGUGCUGGACCCUGAUCUGUCAAAGGACUACCUGGACCUCAUCCAGAACCGGACCAAGGAAAGGAGAUAUACCUUCGAUCAUGUGUACGCGCCUGGAUGCUCCAAUUCGGACGUGUAUAGGAAUAUAUCCUCUACAAUUGCUGGUGUAGUCCAAGGCCUCAAUGCGACAGUCUUUGCUUAUGGUUCUACUGGAAGUGGCAAAACUUACACUAUGGUUGGAACCCAUAGCGAUCCUGGCCUGAUGGUUCUUAGCUUUCGUACAAUUUUUGAGCUGAUAAAAAAGAACGACAGUAAGGAUACAUUUGAAGUUUCAUGUUCAUAUCUGGAAGUGUACAAUGAGGUUAUCUAUGAUUUGCUUGAGAGAUCCUCUGGACACCUGGAGCUUCGAGAAGAUCCUGAGCAUGGCAUAAUAGUUGCUGGAUUGAGAAGCAUUAAGGUUCACUCUGCAGAUAGGAUUCUUGAGCUGUUGAACAUAGGCAACAGUAGGCGCAAGACAGAGAGUACAGAAGCAAAUGCCACUUCUUCACGGUCACAUGCUGUGCUUGAGAUUACCGUAAAGCGAAAGCAGAAAGGUCAAUAUGGUAACCAAGUUCUUCGUGGAAAACUUGCCUUGGUUGAUCUUGCGGGCAGUGAGAGGGCCACCGAAACAAACAACUUUGGGCAAAAGCUUAGAGAUGGAGCCAACAUCAAUCGGUCACUCCUAGCAUUAGCAAACUGCAUCAAUGCCCUAGGCAAGCAAAACAAGAAAGGUCUUGCCUAUGUUCCCUAUCGCAACAGUAAAUUAACUCGAAUUCUAAAGGAUGGGCUAUCUGGUAAUUCUCGAACUGUUAUGGUUGCUACAAUAUCACCAGCUGAUGAUCAGUAUCAUCACACAACAAAUACACUCAAGUACGCAGACCGUGCUAAAGAGAUAAAAACACAUGUCCAUAAAAAUAUUGGAACACUUGACACUCAUGUUGAAGACUAUCAGAGGAUGAUCGACAAUCUUCAGGUUGAGGUUUCUCAGUUGAAAAAGGAAUUAGCUGAGAAGGAGCAUCAAUUAAGUGUAAAGCCUACUGAAAAAGCUGCAGAUAGUGAGCUAUCUUGGUUAAAUGUGUUGAGCCAGGAAACUGGUGAGAAUGUUCAAGAACGCAUAAAUCUUCAGAAGGCUCUGUUUGAACUCGAAGAAACCAAUAAGCGCAACCGAAUGGAACUCCAACAUCUUGACGAUUCUAUUGCAAGGCAUCAGGUGAAAGAAAUGGACUCUGCAGUUCUCCAAGCUUUAACAUCAAGGAGACAAGUCAUUCUUGACAACAUCCGUGAUAAUGAUGAAGCUGGUUCUGGAUAUAGAAAGGACAUUGAAAUGAAUGAGAGUCGCAGGCGAGAACUCCAGGAUAUGAUUGAAGAAGCCGUCAGUAACAAUGGCAAUAAAACCUACCUGCACAUUCUCAGCCAGUACAGACUACUUGGAAUGACUAAUGCUGAGCUUCAAAUUGAAAUGGCUAUGCGGGAUCAAGUUAUACAUAAUCAGAGGGAAGCUCUAAGGAGCCUGUGGAACAUUCUCUAUGGAACGGGGCUAAACCAGAAGCAGAUUCUAAAAUUGGCUGCAAAGCAAGGGUUAACCGUAGAAGGAUGUCCUUUGCCUAGCUCAAGCCCAGAUGUUACCACGCCACCUUCCUUUUCACCUCAUAGGCGGUUUCCAUCGUUUAUGUCAUUUCCUAGUCCGCAGUCAGAGUCUUACUCUCCGUCUGCUUGCUUUUUCCAACAUGGUUUCAGCACUAUGUCUUUGCUGAAAAAUCAGCAUGAGACACCCACCAUAUGUAGGCAGGAGCACCUCAGUUCUUACUACAUGAUGUCUGGCUGCUCGCCUUACUCUGGUGAUGGAAAACAGUGGUCAAGUGGAAGACCUAUGACAUUCUUUUCUACACCAGAAAAACCUAAGGAAGUGAGCAGUGUAUACCGGGAAACAGAGAAUGCACAGUCCCAACACAAGAAGGAACAUUCUGGCAGUCAUGAUUUCAGUGUGCAUAGAAAGGUAAACUGUUUCCUUUACACGAGCUGCUAAAAAAAGUGUCAUAAUGCAUAUCACGCCAUGUAAACAUAGUUCAUCUAUCAAGAAUCCAAAGGGAAAAAGAAAACAAGAAAAGGAUCUGUGGUCCAUGGAAAGGAAAUGACGGGCCUCGAGAUCCUUCUGGUACACAAACAUCUGUGAUGGCUACAAUGUGGCCCUGUCUGAUGUUCCUAACCUUGGUCGCUGUGUGCACCAUCUUCUGUCUACCACCGACGUUUCCCGGGGUUCCUGAGAUCUGAAGAGAUGUUAGUAGUAGAUUUCGCCGGAGCUGUUGCCUUGCCCACGGCCAUUUUGAUUGAUCCUGCUGACAUUGCUCACUCCACCCUGUACAGUAGUAGAUGCUAGUCCUCUCCUCAAGAUAUCUGUCUCCGUCUUCCUUUGUAAAGUGGUUGCUGGGGGGUGAAUCUGAUUUUUGGACCAAGAACUCUGUAAAUUUGCCGCGGUUCUCUCCCUUCUUCAGUAAAUCCAAUGAGAAAAGCUUUCAGAUUGGUCUUCAGGUUCAGUAUACUAAUAAUCCUCUACAUGCUGGUAUGACAAGCUGCCUGAUGCCAAAUCUGCCGGGUGAUUAUCAGGAUAGAGUUGGGUGAUUGAUGAACAGGCAAGAGCUACAGUAGCAUGUGGUGGGAAUAAUAGGAUCUCAUCUCCCCUCUCCAGAUCAUUGAAUAAGCCCUGCUGACGCUCACCUGCCCUGGAGACCACAUUCAAGCAGGAGCAGCGCUGGGCAUGGUCCUCCUCUCUCAUUCAUGUUUCCUGCACAACAGUUGCGCUGAAUGCUACGCUGGAGCGGCGGCAGGCAGAGGCAGCCGAGGCCGCACGGCGCGCACAUCGCAGUCGCAUUACACAUUCCACAUGCCUGGCUUGUAGCUUGUCACCGGCGCAACCAAAGGGCUGGCCCUGACUGACAUUCCGUUCCGGUGGCUUUGAGAUAUUGCAAGAUUGCGAUUGCAAAGGUGGUGUGACAGUGACACAUCCUUCAUCCUUGUAUAGAUUAGCACAGUUGCUCAGCAGGUUUAUUACUGUGGUAAGAUGAUAGUGAGACAGGGAUUACCGCAAAACACGAGCGAGUGGAGUGGAGUACUGGAGUAGCCAUGCGUUGUAUUGUAGAGACAGUGACAGUGACACAUCCUUCAUCCUUGUAGAGACUGUAGGCUGUGGGAUCUGGCAGGCAAACUAGCCUGGCCCAUUGGCCAUGGCGUCUGUAGGCGUGCGGUGCUGAACAGCUGCAUCGGUGGUGGGUGAGGGCGUCAGGUUCAGGCCCGUGGUGAAAGGCUGAACAGAAGAAGGCGUGCAAGCCGUGACCUACAGACCUCAGACCUGCAACUGCAUACGGGGGCAGAGGCCAAUGCUUUCCUGCCCUGCCGGAGUCUACAGGACUGCACUGACAGCUCGUGGGCUACGGCAACUCGCAGCGUUUUUAUUAUCUGCUGCUAAUGCUAAUGGUACUACUUCAACUGUCACUGGAGGAGGUCGUCAUGGUUUUCACGUGAGGGAAUGCAUGUAUCUACAGGCCAUAGCAUGGUGUGUUAACCUGUUCCUAAGACUUUUCGUAGUGGACUUGUUCGUGCCUGA